rnacentral:miRNA from 1 species
UGGACUCCUUUGAGGAGAUGG